rnacentral:rRNA from 1 species
AUGAACGCUGGCGGCGUGCCUCAUACAUGCCAGUCGCGCGAACAGACGAGGAGCUUACUCCUCUGACGUUAGCGGCGGACGGGUGAGUAACACGUGGAUAACCUACCUAUAAGACUGGGAUAACUUCGGGAAACCGGAGCUAAUACCGGAUAACAUGUUGAACCGCAUGGUUCAACAGUGAAAGACGGUCUUGCUGUCACUUAUAGAUGGAUCCGCGUCGCAUUAGCUAGUUGGUAAGGUAACGGCUUACCAAGGCAACGAUGCGUAGCCGACCUGAGAGGGUGAUCGGCCACACUGGAACUGAGACACGGUCCAGACUCCUACGGGAGGCAGCAGUAGGGAAUCUUCCGCAAUGGGCGAAAGCCUGACGGAGCAACGCCGCGUGAGUGAAGAAGGUCUUCGGAUCGUAAAACUCUGUUAUUAGGGAAGAACAAAUGUGUAAGUAACUAUGCACGUCUUGACGGUACCUAAUCAGAAAGCCACGGCUAACUACGUG